CACAGCUCUUUAUAACAAUAUCAAAAUAUAACAUUUUUAUUUACCUUUCAAAUAAAGAGCAUGGACAUUUUUACCUAGGAAUAUUAAUGACAUGGAUUUCCUAGGAAAAUUAGUCUGGGACAUACAUUUUAUUAAAAAUAUAAAUACAAAACUCAUAAGUUUCCAUUGUUUAAAGGUAAAUGAUUUGAUUCAUUAAUAUAUAUUUUUCCAAUAAAAAGAGUAUGGACAUUUUUACCUAUGAAUAUUAAUGACAUGGACUAGAAUUCCUAGGAAAAUUAGUCUGAGGACAUUAAUUACUAACAUCAGACAAAAAAUACUAGUAAAUUUUGUAACCAUGGACUUUUUCUACUAGUUAUAUGUGUCCGCCCAGACAUAUUUUACCAGGACAAAUUUAUCUCUUACA
rnacentral:lncRNA from 1 species